CCUACGGGGGGCAGCAGUGAGGAAUAUUGCACAAUGGGCGAAAGCCUGAUGCAGCGACGCCGCGUGGGUGAAGAAGGUUUUCGGAUCGUAAAACCCUUUUCUGUGUGACGAGAGAGGACGGUAGCACAGGAAUAAGUCUCGGCUAACUACGUGCCAGCAGCCGCGGUAAAACGUAGGAGACAAACGUUAUCCGGAGUUACUGGGCGUAAAGGGCGUGCAGGCGGCAGCCUAAGUCUGGCGUGAAAUAUCCCGGCUUAACCGGGAGAGGUCGUCGG
rnacentral:rRNA from 1 species